GGUUAAGCGACUAAGCGUACACGGUGGAUGCCCUGGCAGUCAGAGGCGAUGAAGGACGUGCUAAUCUGCGAAAAGCGUCGGUAAGGUGAUAUGAACCGUUACAGCCGGCGAUGUCCGAAUGGGGAAACCCAGUGCAAUUCGUUGCACUAUCGUUAACUGAAUACAUAGGUUAACGAGGCGAACCGGGGGAACUGAAACAUCUAAGUACCCCGAGGAAAAGAAAUCAACCGAGAUUCCCCCAGUAGCGGCGAGCGAACGGGGAGCAGCCCAGAGUCUGAAUCAGCUUGUGUGUUAGUGGAACGGUCUGGAAAGUCCGACGGUACAGGGUGAUAGUCCCGUACACCAAAAUGCACAGGCUGUGAACUCGAAGAGUAGGGCGGGACACGUGGUAUCCUGUCUGAAUAUGGGGGGACCAUCCUCCAAGGCUAAAUACUCCUGACUGACCGAUAGUGAACCAGUACCGUGAGGGAAAGGCGAAAAGAACCCCGGCGAGGGGAGUGAAAAAGAACCUGAAACCGUGUACGUACAAGCAGUGGGAGCACCUUCGGGUGUGACUGCGUACCUUUUGUAUAAUGGGUCAGCGACUUAUAUUCUGUAGCAAGGUUAACCGUAUAGGGGAGCCGCAGGGAAACCGAGUCUUAACUGGGCGUUAAGUUGCAGGGUAUAGACCCGAAACCCGGUGAUCUAGCCAUGGGCAGGUUGAAGGUUGGGUAACACUAACUGGAGGACCGAACCGACUAAUGUUGAAAAAUUAGCGGAUGACUUGUGGCUGGGGGUGAAAGGCCAAUCAAACCGGGAGAUAGCUGGUUCUCCCCGAAAGCUAUUUAGGUAGCGCCUCGUGAAUUCAUCUUCGGGGGUAGAGCACUGUUUCGGCUAGGGGGUCAUCCCGACUUACCAACCCGAUGCAAACUACGAAUACCGAAGAAUGUUAUCACGGGAGACACACGGCGGGUGCUAACGUCCGUCGUGAAGAGGGAAACAACCCAGACCGCCAGCUAAGGUCCCAAAGUCAUGGUUAAGUGGGAAACGAUGUGGGAAGGCACAGACAGCCAGGAUGUUGGCUUAGAAGCAGCCAUCAUUUAAAGAAAGCGUAAUAGCUCACUGGUCGAGUCGGCCUGCGCGGAAGAUGUAACGGGGCUAAACCAUGCACCGAAGCUGCGGCAGCGACACUAUGUGUUGUUGGGUAGGGGAGCGUUCUGUAAGCCUGCGAAGGUGACCUGUGAGGGUUGCUGGAGGUAUCAGAAGUGCGAAUGCUGACAUAAGUAACGAUAAAGCGGGUGAAAAGCCCGCUCGCCGGAAGACCAAGGGUUCCUGUCCAACGUUAAUCGGGGCAGGGUGAGUCGACCCCUAAGGCGAGGCCGAAAGGCGUAGUCGAUGGGAAACAGGUUAAUAUUCCUGUACUUGGUGUUACUGCGAAGGGGGGACGGAGAAGGCUAUGUUAGCCGGGCGACGGUUGUCCCGGUUUAAGCAUGUAGGCUGGUUAUCCAGGCAAAUCCGGAUAAUCAAGGCUGAGGUGUGAUGACGAGGCACUACGGUGCUGAAGUAACAAAUGCCCUGCUUCCAGGAAAAGCCUCUAAGCAUCAGGUAACAUCAAAUCGUACCCCAAACCGACACAGGUGGUCAGGUAGAGAAUACCAAGGCGCUUGAGAGAACUCGGGUGAAGGAACUAGGCAAAAUGGUGCCGUAACUUCGGGAGAAGGCACGCUGGUGUGUAGGUGAAGUCCCUGCGGAUGGAGCUGAGACCAGUCGAAGAUACCAGCUGGCUGCAACUGUUUAUUAAAAACACAGCACUGUGCAAACACGAAAGUGGACGUAUACGGUGUGACGCCUGCCCGGUGCCGGAAGGUUAAUUGAUGGGGUUAUCCGUAAGGAGAAGCUCUUGAUCGAAGCCCCGGUAAACGGCGGCCGUAACUAUAACGGUCCUAAGGUAGCGAAAUUCCUUGUCGGGUAAGUUCCGACCUGCACGAAUGGCGUAAUGAUGGCCAGGCUGUCUCCACCCGAGACUCAGUGAAAUUGAACUCGCUGUGAAGAUGCAGUGUACCCGCGGCAAGACGGAAAGACCCCGUGAACCUUUACUAUAGCUUGACACUGAACAUUGAGCCUUGAUGUGUAGGAUAGGUGGGAGGCUUUGAAGCGUGGACGCCAGUCUGCGUGGAGCCAACCUUGAAAUACCACCCUUUAAUGUUUGAUGUUCUAACGUUGGCCCCUUACCGGGGUUGCGGACAGUGUCUGGUGGGUAGUUUGACUGGGGCGGUCUCCUCCCAAAGCGUAACGGAGGAGCACGAAGGUUAGCUAAUCCUGGUCGGACAUCAGGAGGUUAGUGCAAUGGCAUAAGCUAGCUUGACUGCGAGCGUGACGGCGCGAGCAGGUGCGAAAGCAGGUCAUAGUGAUCCGGUGGUUCUGAAUGGAAGGGCCAUCGCUCAACGGAUAAAAGGUACUCCGGGGAUAACAGGCUGAUACCGCCCAAGAGUUCAUAUCGACGGCGGUGUUUGGCACCUCGAUGUCGGCUCAUCACAUCCUGGGG
rnacentral:rRNA from 1 species